rnacentral:misc_RNA from 1 species
GUUCAAGAACUUGUGAUGGGUCCAAAACAAACUCCAAAUAUCAGGAGAGCACUCCUGCAGGACAUUGGCAACCUGUGCUGCUUCUUUGGCCAGAGACAGAGUAAUGACUUUCUUUUACCUAUCCUUCCUGCAUUUCUCAAUGAUCGGGAUGAGCAGCUAAGGGCAUUAUUUUAUGGAAAGAUUGUAUAUGUCUGCUUCUUUGUGGGACAAAGAAGUGUGGAGGAGUAUCUUCUACCCUACAUUGAGCAGGCUUUAAGUGAUCAAACUGAGGCUGUCAUUGUUAAUGCACUGGACUGUUUGGCGAUCCUUUGUAAACGUGGCUUCUUGCGGAAGCAGACACUGCUUGAAAUGAUAGAACAUGCCUUUCCAUUGUUGUGUUAUCCAAGUCAAUGGGUCAGAAGGUCAGCCGUCACUUUCAUUGCAGCCAGCAGUGAGAACUUAGGUGCAGUGGAUUCCUAUGUUUUCCUUGUACCAGUUAUACGCUCUUUCCUUCGCAGACAACCUGCUUCCCUAGCUUCUGAGGAGUCUCUGCUUUUAUGUUUGAAGCCUCCUGUCUCAAGGCAGGUAUUUAACCAGAUUUUGGAAAAUGCUAGAAGUUCAGACAUGUUGGAGAGACAGAGAAAAAUAUGGUACAAUUCAUCAGCACAGUCCAAACAAUGGGAAACUACUGAUGUACUCAAAAGAGAGGAUGGGGAACUAAAUUCAAUAAAGAGUUGGUCUGACAAGAAAGUGGGUCCUGAGACUCAAAAACAUGAUGUUGAUGCAUUGGAGCAGCUGGAGGAUGGUGAGGCAAAGUUGAGAGCUAUGGGCUUUGUGAGCAGUGUUUCUAGUAUGGUCGACAUUCGUGAUCCUCUAUGCCCAGAAAAGUUACAUUUCUCUGGCUACAUGUCUCCACAGGUUGGUGGUGUUAAUAGCUUCAUACAUGAUAAGUCCUCAGAGGGCAUACCUUUGUAUUCUUUUAGCAUGGACAGGCGAGCAGUAAAAAUUCCUCCUGCAGCUUCCGAUUCUUCAUUGCGAAUGAACUCCCUUGGAAUUGGUUCAUCUUACAUUCCUUGGAUGGAUCCAGUGAAUAAAUCGUUUAGCUUGGCCAGUUCAGUUCCUGCACCUAAGCUGGUUUCUGGAUCAUUCAACAUCAGUAAUGGAUCUAAACAGUUCUACAGAGUAGUACAUGAACCAGAGAGCAGGGAAAAUGAUCAAACAACAUAUGUUAAUAGUAAAUUUCAGGAUAUGGGAUUAUCUGGUGGAACAAAGGGAGGUUCUUUUACGGUGGAAGAUGCUUCUGCUCCAACUGAUCUAACUGGAUUGCCAUCCUUUUCUUGGACCACAUCAAUACCAGACUCAGGCUGGAGACCUCGUGGGGUGUUGGUAGCACACCUGCAGGAGCACCGUUCUGCUGUCAAUGAUAUUGCAAUUUCAAAUGAUCAUAGCCUGUUUGUGAGUGCAUCUGAUGAUUCAACUGUCAAGGUGUGGGAUUCAAGAAAGUUGGAAAAGGACAUCUCGUUUAGAUCAAGGCUGACUUAUCACCUGGAAGGGAGCCGAGCACUUUGCACUGUAAUGCUGCGUAACUUUCCUCAAGUAGUAGUUGGAGCAUGCGAUGGCUCGAUGCAUGUAUUUUCUGUUGAUCACAUAUCCAGGGGCCUUGGCAAUGUUGUUGAGAAGUAUUCAGGUAUUGCUGAUAUAAAAAAGAAGGAUAUUAAGGAAGGUGCAAUACUUAGCCUUUUGAACUACACUGCUGAUAACAGUGCUAGUCAGAUUGUUAUGUACAGUACUCAAAAUUGUGGAAUCCAUCUCUGGGAUGUUAGAGCAAAUGCAAAUGCCUGGACAUUAAAAGCUGUUCCUGAGGAAGGUUAUGUGUCUUCUCUGGUAACAGGCCCGUGUGGGAAUUGGUUUGUCUCAGGAUCUUCUAGGGGUGUGCUUACACUAUGGGAUCUAAGGUUUCUUAUACCUGUGAACUCAUGGCAGUAUUCUCUUGCAUGCCCCAUAGAGAAGAUGUGCCUUUUUGUUCCUCCUCCAAAUGUCACUGUAUCUAAUACUGCACGGCCCCUGAUAUAUGUUGCCGCUGGUUGCAGUGAAGUUUCUUUAUGGAAUGCUGAGAAUGGGAGCUGUCACCAGGUACUGAGGCUGGCAAAUUAUGACAAUGAUACUGAAAUGUCUGAGACACCAUGGGCCUUAGCCAGACCAUCCAGUAAGACAAACUCUAAACCGGAUAUAAGGCGGAAUGUCAAUCCAAAGUAUAGAGUUGAUGAGCUAAGUGAUCCUCCUUCCCGUCUUUCUGGUAUCCGUUCAAUGCUUCCCUUACCUGGGGGUGAUUUGUUGACUGGAGGUACUGACUUGAAGAUACGUCGAUGGGAUCAUUGCAGCCCGGAACGAAGUUACUGUGUUAGUGGGCCAAAUUUGAAUGGAGUUGGAAAUGAUGAUAUAUUUGAAAUAAGAUCAAGUUUUGGAGUGCAAGUUGUGCAGGAGACAAAAAGAAGACAUCUAACUACCAAGUUGACAGCAAAGGCAGUUCUAGCAGCAGCUGCUACUGAUUCUGCUGGCUGCCACAGGG